rnacentral:rRNA from 1 species
GGACUACACGGGUAUCUAAUCCUGUUUGCUCCCCACGCUUUCGCGUCUCAGCGUCAGUAUCCGUCCAGAGGGCCGCCUUCGCCACCGGUGUUCCUCCUGAUAUCUACGCAUUUCACCGCUACACCAGGAAUUCCACCCUCCUCUCCGGUACUCCAGUCUCCCAGUUUCCAAUGCACUUCCGGGGGUGAGCCCCGGGAUUUCACAUCAGACUUAAAAGACCGCCUACACGCGCUUUACGCCCAGUGAUUCCGAACAACGCUUGCACCCUCCGUAUUACCGCGGCUGCUGGCAC